rnacentral:rRNA from 1 species
AUUGAACGGUGGCGGCAGGCCUAACACAUGCAAGUCGAGCGGAUGAAGGGAGCUUGCUCCUGGAUUCAGCGGCGGACGGGUGAGUAAUGCCUAGGAAUCUGCCUGGUAGUGGGGGAUAACGUCCGGAAACGGGCGCUAAUACCGCAUACGUCCUGAGGGAGAAAGUGGGGGAUCUUCGGACCUCACGCUAUCAGAUGAGCCUAGGUCGGAUUAGCUAGUUGGUGGGGUAAAGGCCUACCAAGGCGACGAUCCGUAACUGGUCUGAGAGGAUGAUCAGUCACACUGGAACUGAGACACGGUCCAGACUCCUACGGGAGGCAGCAGUGGGGAAUAUUGGACAAUGGGCGAAAGCCUGAUCCAGCCAUGCCGCGUGUGUGAAGAAGGUCUUCGGAUUGUAAAGCACUUUAAGUUGGGAGGAAGGGCAGUAAGUUAAUACCUUGCUGUUUUGACGUUACCAACAGAAUAAGCACCGGCUAACUUCGUG